UACGUAGGGUGCGAGCGUUAAUCGGAAUUACUGGGCGUAAAGCGUGCGCAGGCGGUUCGUUGUGUCGGCGGUGAAAGCCCCGGGCUUAAACUGGGAAUGGCCGUCGAAACUGGCGAACUGGAGUGUGGCAGAGGGGGGUGGAAUUCCGCGUGUAGCAGUGAAAUGCGUAGAGAUGUGGUGGAACACCGAUGGCGAAGGCAGCCCCCUGGGCCAAAACUGACGCUCAGGCACGAAAGCGUGGGGAGCAAACAGG
rnacentral:rRNA from 1 species